rnacentral:rRNA from 1 species
UGCCAGCCGCCGCGGUAAUACGAAGGAAACUAGCGUUGUUCGGAAUUACUGGGCGUAAAGCGCACGUAGGCGGACUAUUAAGUCAGGGGUGAAAUCCCGGGGCUCAACCCCGGAACUGCCUCUGAUACUGGUAGUCUUGAGUUCGAGAGAGGUGAGUGGAAUUCCGAGUGUAGAGGUGAAAUUCGUAGAUAUUCGGAGGAACACCAGUGGCGAAGGCGGCUAACUGGACUGAUACUGACGCUGAGGUGCGAAAGUGUGGGGAGCAAACAGGAUUAGAUA